rnacentral:rRNA from 2 species
UCGCCCUUUCCGGUUGAUCCCGCCGGACCCGACUGCUAUCGGAUUGAGAUUUAGCCAUGCGAGUUGAACGUCCCUUGAUUGCAGGGGGCGUAGCAUACGGCUCAGUAACACGUAGUCAACCUGCCCUGGAGACGCGGAUAACCCCGGGAAACUGGGACCAAUCCGCGAUAGGUCGCCCCAUCUGGAAGGAGGGGCGGCCCAAAGGGGAAUUGUGGGCUUCCACUUUUCUCGCUCUAGGAUGGGACUGCGGCCGAUCAGGCUGUUGGCGGGGUAAUGGCCCACCAAACCUGUAACCGGUACGGGCCUUGAGAGAGGUGGCCCGGAGAUGGACACUGAGACAAGGGUCCAGGUCCUACGGGGCGCAGCAGGCGCGAAACCUUCGCAAUGUGCGAAAGCAUGACGAGGUUAAUCCGAGUGGCUUCCGCUGAGGAAGUCUUUUGCCGACUGUAAAAAGGUCGGAGAAUAAGGGGAGGGCAAGUCUGGUGUCAGCCGCCGCGGUAAUACCAGCUCCUCGAGUGGUCGGGGCGAUUAUUGGGCCUAAAGCAUCCGUAGCCGGUUCCGUAGGUCUCCUGCAAAAUCCAGUCGCUCAACGAUUGGCCCGCAGGAGAUACCGCGGGACUAGGAGGCGGGAGAGGUGGACGGUACUCCACGUGUAGGGGUAAAAUCCUUUGAUCCGUGGAAGACCACCAGUGGCGAAGGCGGUCCACCAGAACGCGCUCGACGGUGAGGGAUGAAAGCUGGGGGAGCGAACCGGAUUAGAUACCCGGGUAGUCCCAGCCGUAAACGAUGCUAGCUAGAUGAUCCGAUCGUAAAUCAUGAUCGGAGUGUCGCAGGGAAGCCGUUAAGCUCGCCGCCUGGGGAGUACGGUCGCAAGGCUGAAUCGUAAGCAGAUUUUCUGCUUGCGCAGUUCACUUAAAGGAAUUGGCGGGGGAGCACCACAAGGGGUGAAGCCUGCGGUUCAAUUGGAGUCAACGCCAGGAAACUUACCAGGAGCGACAGCAGGUUGAGAGUCAGGCUGAAGACUUUACUUGACGAGCUGAGAGGAGGUGCAUGGCCGUCGCCAGCUCGUGCCGUGAGGCGUCCUGUUAAGUCAGGCAACGAGCGAGACCCAAAGGGCG